AACGGCGAGUGAACAGAGAACAGCCCAGCACCGAAGCCUAUCUGCGUUUGUGGAUAAGGCAAUGUGGUGUUUAGGUGUAUGCCUGGGGCGGUCAGUCUAUUCGAAGUCCAGCAUAGAUUAUGGCUCUGGAUUUGGUCCAUAGUGGGUGAAAGACCCGUACGGAUAGACUGUGAGGCUUGUCGGCCGCCCUCAGAUGCAUUCACCUUGGAGUCGGAUAGCUUGAGAAUGCUGUCCAAAGUGGGUGGUAAACUCCAUCCAAGGCUAAAUACUUGCACGAGUCCGAUAGCUAACAAGUACCGUGAGGGAAAGUUGAAAAGUACUCUGAAGAGAGAGUAAAUAGUACGUGAAACCGCCUGUAGGGAAGCUGGUGGAGUCAAGCUGCAUGCCCUGGAAAUUAAGCAAGUGACUGUUGUGGCAUUGUGGACUUGGGCGAUCGGUGGCCUUGCAAAUAGGCCUGCGGACUUGUCCGCUCCAUGUGCACACUGGUAGUGUGUAUUAGGCCGGUCGUCUUAUGUUCACGUCGCUUGUGUACUUUUCCUGUGGCAGACAUCACGAUCGGUAUCGCCGCUGGCACAUGGUAGUGAAACCAUUCGGACGUGGGUCUCGUACUCGCGCCGGGUGGGACGGCAGGUAGCUUGCUUGAGGGCUUUACGGCUCUCCUGUGAGUGUUUUGUGGUUACGACCGGCUCUCUACCAUU
rnacentral:rRNA from 1 species